rnacentral:rRNA from 1 species
AUCACCUCCUUUAGAGUUUGAUCCUGGCUCAGAUUGAACGCUGGCGGCAGGCCUAACACAUGCAAGUCGAGCGGUAACAUUUCUAGCUUGCUAGAAGAUGACGAGCGGCGGACGGGUGAGUAAUGCUUGGGAACAUGCCUUGAGGUGGGGGACAACCAUUGGAAACGAUGGCUAAUACCGCAUAAUGUCUACGGACCAAAGGGGGCUUCGGCUCUCGCCUUUAGAUUGGCCCAAGUGGGAUUAGCUAGUUGGUGAGGUAAAGGCUCACCAAGGCGACGAUCCCUAGCUGGUUUGAGAGGAUGAUCAGCCACACUGGAACUGAGACACGGUCCAGACUCCUACGGGAGGCAGCAGUGGGGAAUAUUGCACAAUGGGCGCAAGCCUGAUGCAGCCAUGCCGCGUGUGUGAAGAAGGCCUUCGGGUUGUAAAGCACUUUCAGUCAGGAGGAAAGGUUA